UAUAUCUCUGCUGCCUAGCAACCCUUCAGUCGUACCCCACUAUAGCCCAUACAGUACUUCAUACUGAUACACACUAUACCCUUUGACCAUCCACAUUAACUUCUCUCUCCCCCUCAUAUAUAUAUAUAUAUAUAUAUGUGUGUGUGUGUGACUCCAUUUCUAUCAUAUGUCCACCACCUCCCCUUUUUCUGUAUAUCCAUUGCAUGCCUGUCCUCCAUCUCUCUCUCUCUAUAUAUAUAUAUAUAUCUUUCUGUCUAUUUCUACCGUAUGUCUACCUCCUUCUUUCUGUAUAUCCAUUGCAGGCUUCUCUCCUUCCCUCUCUUUCUAUACACCUGUUGCAUAUCUGGUGUAUCUAUCUCUCUCUCUUUCUCCGUGUCUCCAUCUGUCUGUCUGUCUACCUCCCUCUCUCUACAAACCAAGAAGUAAAAAGAUAAAAGAAAUACCACUCUAGUACAGUUAUUAUUCCUUAUGGUAAGCCCACAUGCUGGGAUUUUAUUUCCCUUUUGAUUCUCACACAAAAUACUGAGCUGACACAGGCAUCGGAGGGAGGUAGCAGAGAAAGAGGAAAUCCCAUCCACCCUAGCACCACACAAAGCCUCCAUAAUAAAAUUAAAACUGGCUGCUUUCGUCCAAAAUUAAUACAUAAAUCUAAUAUACACUAGCACAACUCCCUGAUAAUGAUAAUAAAACUGUCUAGUUAAUAAAAGCAACACACACAUAUCAUACCCUGGGUAGCCACAGCAAUACAGAGAGGAGGGAGGGAUAUUGGGGUGGGGGUGACAAUUCAGUUAAAUCUAUCAUGAUUCUGCUAUAAGCACAAGGCCGGAGAUUUUAGAGGGGAGGGGGCUAGUCGAUUACAUCAUCCCCACAAACACAUAUACACCAUGUUUGCUCAUGUAUAUAAGUUGCACUCGUAUAUGUCACACUCAUGUAUAAGUCACGCUCGUGUAUAAGUCGAACUUGUUUAUAAGUCACAUUCACGUAUAAGUCACGCUUGUGUAUAAAUUAUGUGUAUGUAUAAGUUGUACCCCAAGUUUAGUGCUAAUUUCAAACUCGAUGUCAGCUUUGCUCCAUAUAUUAAUCACACCCCAGGGUUUUUGUUUUUUUUUACAGU